CGCAAUGAUAUUUUAGAAGUUGAUGAAGUACAAGAAGUUAAAAGUAUUAAAGGGCGUUACCAUGGAAGUAGUGUGUUUAUUGAUGUCACAAUUGUUGUAGAUGCUAACCUUUCCUUAGUAGAAGCGCAUCAAAUUUGUGACAAUGUCGAACAUCAUUUGCACAAAAAAGGUAUUUCCUCAGUAUACGUUCACCCAGAACCAGACCAUCUAUAAUGUAUUUAAACGUCUUCAUAGAUAUAUAAA
rnacentral:sRNA from 1 species